rnacentral:rRNA from 1 species
AUAUUGGACAAUGGGGGAAACCCUGAUCCAGCAAUGCCGCGUGCGUGAAGAAGGCCUUAGGGUUGUAAAGCGCUUUCGCCCGCGAAGAUGAUGACGGUAGCGGGAGAAGAAGCCCCGGCUAACUCCGUGCCAGCAGCCGCGGUAAUACGGAGGGGGCUAGCGUUGUUCGGAAUUACUGGGCGUAAAGGGUGCGUAGGCGGCGGUCCAAGUCAGGCGUGAAAGCCCCGGGCUCAACCUGGGAGGUGCGCUUGAUACUGGAUCGCUCGAGUCCGGGAGAGGAUAGCGGAAUUCCCAGUGUAGAGGUGAAAUUCGUAGAUAUUGGGAAGAACACCGGUGGCGAAGGCGGCUAUCUGGACCGGCACUGACGCUGAGGCACGACAGCGUGGGGAGCAAACAGG